GGUUUAACCCAGAGGAGGCAGAGAAUGGGCGAAGCAAGGAGAGCCUCGCUCAGGCUUGCUCCCUUUUAUGUAAUUGCUACAUUUUCACCUUGCUGCUGACAUGCUUCUUCUCUGUGUUGGCGCCAGCAAGGCUGGGACUGCAGUCUGUCCAGAUUUACCGGCGGCUAGUCAAGGUGCCAACCAUAUUGCCCCAGCAAUGACAGAAAGGAGGAAUGUGAAGAGGCCUAGAUUAAGGUGAAAUUCUGAUCUUUUAUUAGAUUUGAAUCCCUGAAUUCAGUUGACCCUGCAGCUGAUCCUGUCACUGGUCUGUGUUUCAUUACAACCAAGAAGACGGGGUCAGGCCAGCAUAUUGGAACAAUAUUGGACUGUUAUUGAAACUCAGGUAUCAUCCAGUCACAUCUGAGAUGUCGUCUGAUGCCAUCUGAUGGAGGUUCCUCCCUGACCACAGCUAGUCGUGACCUUUUUUAGUUUUUGUAAUUAUGUUUCUACCAGGUGUCUGACCAGAGAAAUUACUCCAGUGUGGCUGUCUGUAAGAGCUGCUAUGGAAUUUACCUCACCCUGCCAACCUGAGACAUCCUACAUCUGAUUUGAUUAAAUAAAAUUAAAGAGCCCUAAAUUUGACUUUCAGCA